GUAUGUUGGCCAGUGCUUGCACAGAAUUGCUGCCAGAAGAGCCUGAUGCUUCCCUGCCCCUGCACGAUUUACACUGCCUGCUUCGGAUGGUGCUUUUCGAGGCUGGGGUACACAAAAUCUCUGCUUGGGAACUCGAAGGAGCCUGAACUGGCAGGAAUUUAGAGCAUAUCCAGCAUGAUGUGAACAGCAGUUUCCCAAAGUGACUUACUGACUUUGCAUAGCAGCCUGCACCAGGCACAGGGUAAACCUCUUCUACCUCUUCUGCAAACUUCCACACGACUUUUCAGUGAAUAGUUGAUCUAGUAAUAUAUUCAGGGGGAAAAAAAGCAUCUGUACAAAAGGAAGAGUUUCCUUCAAAUGAUCAGAUCUACUCUGUUUUAACCAAGGCACUUCUAUGCCCAUCAGAAAGUGACGGCUGAUAGCAGUUAGCCAGACUGGCGGCCUGAGUGGAGAACUACAAACUUGGUGUCAGGCUGAAUAUUCAUUAGGUAUGGAAUUUUUACCUUCAGCUCAAAGACAAAUCAUAAUGGCCUCAUCUACAUUCUGUGGAAAAAAAAAAAUAACUUUAUUCCUGGGCUGGCUUCAUCAGUGGUAGCAGUAAAUAGUGCUGCUCUAAGAAGGUGGGAGCCUAGCAGUUACCAUUAUGUUUUGCUCUGUUUUUAUUUUACGUUUUUAUAGUUGACACUGGCAAAACCACCAGCUUCUUGGAGCACUGCCUGAAGAACUGCUCUCCACUGUUAUUACCACUAAUGGAACAAAAAUAAUGAUAGCAAGGAAGGGAGACUGUUGGCCAAAAAGCAUAGUCCAGGAGCCUUUCUACCCCACCCUGCACCUGGCAGUGAAGUGUGAGGGCAUGAGUACAACAUCUGCUCUGCUGCUAAACUUAACUGAGGAAAUCUCUCCAAGCAAGCCAAAACAUGUUACUGUUCCAGCCCCUGCCAGGGAACCCAGAUAACAGGAAGCGGAUGGGUUUUUUUGCUCCCCAUGAAAGCAGAAUAAACACGAAGAAGUUAGUUUGACACUUUGGUGUGUUUAUAGCAGAAAGUCAUGUUGCAUGACAGUUCCUAUGGAAACCUUUUUAUAACUGAAUGGCAGAACACUUUAAACGCUCAUAAAUUUUUUAAGAACAUGUUAGGAAAGUUUAGCUUGCGUUAUAGCCUCCAUGCCAGUUUUCCAUAUUUAACAGGUUGCAGCAUUCUUUAGGACAAAAUGUUGUGGUGGUGGUUCAAGUCUCCAACCUCUACGAGCAGGGAUAAAUCACAUGGCUGCUUUACCACAUCAAAACAAAUGGCUCAUAUGAUGCCUGUUUCACUCUCAAUACAUACCAGCAAUUCAGUCAUUCAUCUCGAAGAUUUUCUUCAAGUUUAUAAUUAGCCAGGUCUGUAGGGGCUGUAAGAGAGAUGGUGUGGAGAUGUACUCAUUUACAUGUACACUAGUGAAUGCUUUAAUUGGGUGUUAGGAUUGCACUACUGUUUAAUGUGAAAGGAUUUUACGUUUUCCUGUGAAUUAUCAGCAUUUGUUUCCAGUUCCUAGAAAACAGGUGCUUACUGGAGAAGCUGAAGCAGAAUGAGUCCAAACUAUGGUUUGUAGCAUAUCAACAGGUCAGCCCAUAAAAACACUCCAGGAAUGAAUGCUGGGUGGGCUGUACCUGCUUUUACUAGAAACCCAAAGAACAUCACCUAUUUUUAUACUAAAAUUGCCAAAAUAUACUUUCUGUCAAUAAGCUGAAUUUGAAAUUGAGUCUGAAUGAGGAAAAACAAAGCCUAUGAAGGCAAGAGUGGUGAUUUAAAGCAGGAGGAGAGUUGUUUUAGGAGGAGGUAUUGCAGAGGUUCCAGCCUUCAGGGC
rnacentral:lncRNA from 1 species